AGUAGGUAUAUAUUUAAGUUUUUGGUCAUAUUUAUACAACAUAUACCAUAUCACUUACAGAACAAACAUAUAUUAACAGGAAUACAACUAAAUGAUGUUUUCUUUUUCUGCCGAGAAAGAGGACAUCAGAGACGAAGCCUUGUGAAAUUUUUUUUACAAUUUAGUACCAAAAAUAAUCAAAUUAUGAAUUUUCUUUUAUUUAUUUUCAGCCAUUGAUCC